UUUUUUCCAUAAUUAAAUAAAGUUAUUUUUGUAGAUUAAUCAAUAGAUUUGAGAGCAUUAUGUGGAGGUAGUGUUCGAAGAAUAAGAUCACGAACACAAACGAUUAGGGGGGGAAAUCAUGGGUUGGCUUUUUUCUCAAUCCAUCUUUGUUCUCUCCUUAUCUUUAUCACAAAAUUAUACAUCCCUAACCAAUACCUCAAUGAUUCAAA
rnacentral:lncRNA from 1 species